rnacentral:snRNA from 1 species
CGGCUCUCUCGGGAGCUUUC